rnacentral:misc_RNA from 1 species
GAAAUGCGAUACUUGGUGUGAAUUGCAGAAUCCCGUGAACCAUCGAGUCUUUGAACGCAAGUUGCGCCCGAAGCCAUUAGGCCGAGGGCACGCCUGCCUGGGUGUCACACAUCGUUUCCCCAACGCAAACAUGUAACAAUGUUGCUGCGCGGGGUGUAUGCUGACCUCCCGCGAGCACCCGCCUCGUGGUUGGUUGAAAUCUGGGUUCAUGGCCGACUUCGCCGUGAUAAAAUGGUGGAUGGACCUCAGGUCAGGCGGGGCUACCCGCUGAGUUUAA